rnacentral:rRNA from 1 species
UACCCGCAGCACAAGUGGUGGUCAUUAUUAUUGGGCCUAAAGCGUCCGUAGCUGGCUUGUUAGAUGCCUGGUGAAAUCGAUGCGCUCAACGUAUCGAACUCCGGGUAGACCGGCAAGCUUGGGACCGGGAGAGGCGUGAGCUACUCGAGGGGUAGGGGUAAAAUCCUGUAAUCCUUCGGGGAGGACCAGUGGCGAAGGCGUCACGCUAGAACAGCUCCGACAGUGAGGGACGAAGCCCUGGGGCGCAAACCGG